rnacentral:rRNA from 1 species
AUUGAACGCUGGCGGCAGGCUUAACACAUGCAAGUCGAGCGGAGAUGAGGUGCUUGCACCUUAUCUUAGCGGCGGACGGGUGAGUAAUGCUUAGGAAUCUGCCUAUUAGUGGGGGACAACAUUCCGAAAGGAAUGCUAAUACCGCAUACGCCCUACGGGGGAAAGCAGGGGAGCUUCGGACCUUGCGCUAAUAGAGGAGCCUAAGGGGGAUUAGCUAGUUGGUGGGGUAAAGGCCUACCAAGGCGACGAUCUGUAGCGGGUCUGAGAGGAUGAUCGGCCACACUGGGACUGAGACACGGCCCAGACUCCUACGGGAGGCAGCAGUGGGGAAUAUUGGACAAUGGGCGGAAGCCUGAUCCAGCCAUGCCGCGUGUGUGAAGAAGGCCUUUUGGUUAUAAAGCACUUUAAGCGAGGAGGAGGCUACCUGGAUUAAUACUCUAGGAUAGUGGACGUUACUCGCAGAAUAAGCACCGGCUAACUCUGUGCCAGCAGCCGCCGCCGUAA